UACGAAGGGGGCUAGCGUUGUUCGGAAUUACUGGGCGUAAAGCGCACGUAGGCGGAAUGUUAAGUCAGGGGUGAAAUCCCGGGGCUCAACCCCGGAACUGCCUUUGAUACUGGCAUUCUCGAGUCCGGAAGAGGUGAGUGGAAUUCCGAGUGUAGAGGUGAAAUUCGUAGAUAUUCGGAGGAACACCAGUGGCGAAGGCGGCUCACUAGGCUGUAACUGACGCUGAGGCACGAAAGUGUGGGGAUCAAACAGG
rnacentral:rRNA from 1 species